rnacentral:rRNA from 1 species
AUGCCACACUCUUCCCCAGUUAUUGGAUAUGAAAGAGUUGUGAAGGAUGCUGCUUGUUGGGCAAAUUCAAUAAAAGGGUGGUGGGUUAACACCAAUAAUGUCCUUGUUAAGUUAUCUGAUGUUCGUAUUAAACCUAUCAUUCUCUUGUCAGUCUUCUCCACACAGUCCUUGUUAAGUUAUCCCAUAUUUGCUGAUUAUUUAUAUCUUUCUCAGAGUAGUACUAUAAUUUUUCAUUCUGUGGCCCUAAAUAAAAAUCUUGAGAGAAAAAUAGAAAUAUAUUCUGAUGGUAUAAGUUGGCUGUGUUGCCAUCAUGUAGUGGAGUAA